rnacentral:rRNA from 1 species
AUUGAACGCUGGCGGCAUGCCUUACACAUGCAAGUCGAACGGCAGCAUAGGAGCUUGCUCCUGAUGGCGAGUGGCGAACGGGUGAGUAAUAUAUCGGAACGUGCCCUAGAGUGGGGGAUAACUAGUCGAAAGACUAGCUAAUACCGCAUACGAUCUACGGAUGAAAGUGGGGGAUCGCAAGACCUCAUGCUCCUGGAGCGGCCGAUAUCUGAUUAGCUAGUUGGUGGGGUAAAAGCCCACCAAGGCGACGAUCAGUAGCUGGUCUGAGAGGACGACCAGCCACACUGGGACGGAGACACGGCCCAGACUCCUACGGGAGGCAGCAGUGGGGAAUUUUGGACAAUGGGGGCAACCCUGAUCCAGCAAUGCCGCGUGAGUGAAGAAGGCCUUCGGGUUGUAAAGCUCUUUUGUCCGGGAAGAAACGGUUCUGGAUAAUACCUGGGACUAAUGACGGUACCUGAAGAAUAAGCACCGGCUAACUACGUGCCAGCAGCCGCCGUAA